ensembl:lncRNA
GAACAUCAACAUGGAAUGGCUUCAACAAGCCAUGGACAAACUGUAACCCCUGAAGCACAGGAAAUAACUGUUGAUGAGGUGUAUGAACCUAGUGAAAUUUUUUCCUCAAGCACAGAAGAUAGUGAGGAGGAAGAGGAUUGCCUAAGGACACAAUUGGCAGGGUGGGCUAUUGACAACAUGAUCCCCCAUGUGGCACUGGGUAAGCUUUUAACCAUUUUGUUAUUGGCCCCCAUUUAACCUCCGCAAAAAAGACAAAGGCAACAAUUUAGCCAUCCGCUGCACGCCUCCACACAGCACCUGGGAGAAACAUCAUUUUAAGUUUAUGAAGGGAGCAGAAUGUUGGCAAGAGGCGAUGAGAUAUUUGGUGCGCUUCCAAACAGGUUCUAGCGUUGAAACGACGGACGAUGACAAGAAGAGAAAGAGAAAGAGAAUCUCAAAUUCCAAGUACAGACCCCAGGCCUCUUCUGAUGAAGAGGAGUCUAGUCUUCCAGAUGCACCAGCAGUGCUGUCGUUUGGGCAACCUCUUUUGAGCUUUGAAAACAUUGUUCCUGGUAACAAGGUUUCAGUGCUGCCCGAUGCUCCAGAAGUUGCAUCGAUUCCAGAAAACCAGGAAAAUGUUGUGCCAUCUGUAGACUUCAGAGGUGAACCAGGUUUCUCCCCAGAAAUUCAGACUCCACUUCACAGAGCCAAGAGUUUGAGUACAAGACACUUGACUGGUUACUCGCCGCAGCAGUUUCUGGAUGAAAGGUGUCGAGCUCGUCAAGUACUAAGCUUUACACCCCCAGCAGCAAAUUUACCCUGGCAGCAUAUGGGUGAAAACGCUGGAGGAGAAAGUCAUCGCUCUGUAAUUGGCCCUUGGACUCCCCUGGCAUCUCGUGUACAGCAUGAAGUUUUCAGCUAUGAAGAUUUCCAGAGACUCCAGAAUGAAAAACAAGCCGUGAUGGAGGAGAACCAAGCCCUUAGGGAGGAGAACCAAGCUCUGAGGGAGGAGAACCAAGCUCUGAGGGAAAGCACUGCACGAGCAGCUUCGGAUGACAGCGGCUCACUUCAAGAGCAGGUGAAGCAAGUUGGGACAAUGUUGAAGACGUUUGCUCGCACUGGGCAAUCAGGUGCAGAUCAGACCUUAAUGCUGCGACGUCUUGGAGAGUUUGGCGAUGUUGUGCGUAGCAUGGACAACAAAAUGGACACUAUGCUGCAACAUUUCAGUGCCAAUGUGUCUGUUGGAGAGUUAUCCCUGCCAGGGGAUCUGUUACUCCCCCUAGACACCCAGGAAGAUUUGGUGUUGCUUGACAACAGUUUGAGGCAGGAUAAAGAGCUCCAGGAACGAUUUCUUCGGUUUUUGGCAAUCAAAUGUGGGAGGGACCUAAAGACAACCGUCUGGCGGAUGCUUCAAAGUAUCUUCUCUAAUCACCUUUCCAUCAAUACAACCUGGACUGGAGUUGGGGAUAAAGCAUGUUUUAGAGACAUGUUCCUGAAGACCAUUGUUCAAAGUAAGUUGGAUGUAAAAAAAAAAAAAAAAAAAAAAAAAUAUGUUUAGUAGAUGUGUAUGGCAUUAUGCCAUUCAAAUGGAAUGACAGAUCUGUAUUUUCUACAGGAGCCAUCCGGAAGAACCCGGCAACACAGGAUGCCACUGAUGAAGCCAUCCAGGUUAACGUUACGCGUUACCUGAAAGGAGCAUCUGACCGUGAAGGCGGAAAAAGGCGCCGCACAGCUGAGAGGGACCCACAGCCGACCCCUUAAACCUAGGCUGACUACUGACAUCCCAGCAUCACUGACAACUGGAACCCUUUCUUUAUCCUGCAGUCAGUAACAUCAAGACCCCUAAAGAAGCCAGAAGUGUCAGACUGCACUCCCCAAUCCACACUGUUCACUGUGGAUAUUAUCAUAGUGCUUAACUUAUUAUAUUGUUAAAUAUAGCUUGUAAAUCCUUGUGCCACAGGUCAGCAUUGCAGUUAUAUCUGUUCUACUACUUUUUUUACCUCAGUAUUUUUUAUAUAUAUUUGAAGAUGUUUAUCACAGAUACAAGAGACAUCUUGUACCCCAGGUCAGCAAUGCCAUUAUAAUGGUCUAUUCUACUCCAGAGCUUUAUUCUAAAUUAUUACCACUUAUCUUAUUGUUAGAAAUGGCUUGUAAAUGUGAUGUUAUACCUGAAUUUUUUUUGGUGUCCUGCACAUUCUUUGGUACCAGAUAUACUCAUUACUUAUGUUUUCUGGUAAUUCUUUUCAUGCCAGAGCUGACCUCUUUAUAUUAUUAACAAUUAUUGUAAGUGUUAUAAUUUGCUUGUAAGCUAAGGCUGUUUUUUUUUUUUUUUUACAAUUUAAUUGGAAACCUGCAUGUGUGUGUGUGUGUGUGUGUGUGUGUGUGUGUAUUUAUUUUAUUUUUUUCUCUUUUUUUCUGUUAUUUAUAUUUCAGGGAUCUGACAUCAUGUUUCAAUGACAGUUACUGUACUUUGAAAUGUGGAAUUAAAACGUCAAAUGGAAAUUUGUCUGGUUUGAUCAAUCAUUAUUCUUGAUAAACUGCAUUAUAUAUAUAAUAUAUAAUAUAUAUAUAAAUAAAUAAAUAAGCAAGCGGCGACCGAUCGCUCGAAAAUAGCGUUUGCCUCCGACGGGCCGCGGAAGGGUCGCCUUUGAUAUAACGGCGGCGGGACGGCGGUUGGCCCGCGGGCCGGCCGCGGAACGAAGGCGGUAGGAAGGCGGCUGCCGCUUCUAAAAAGCGGCUGCCGCCGGCGGUGCACCGUCAAACGUGUUUGCGAUUACGCUAUUCUGACGCUUCUACUGCCGCCGGAGCGCCGCCGGCGGUCCGCCGACUCAUUGCUAUCUGGGAUGUCACAGAACUCUUCCCGCGCUCUCCGUCAGAAUUCAAACAUUAACGGUCGAACUUGGCGGCUGUUCGCUUUCUUAUGUGUGAUUAUUUUCAUAUAACGUUUUGGGCACUUCCAUUUUAACAAAUAAAGUGAAAGUACCACAAAACAUGAAACGAAGAUGUCUUGGACGAGGAGAGCUCGUCCAAAUUUGUGGUAAGAAAUAAUAUCCUUUUAUUAUCAUAGUUAAGCUUAAUCGCGUUUGUGAACGUUACGUAAUUUGGAGCAAUUUAUUUAAUGAAAGUAGGUGUAUUCUGGUCGUCAUCGUGGACAUUGUGUCUCCACCAUUAUGCUUUUCAUCACUUAAAGGUCUUCAGGAUGUAAUUUUGAUUAAAUUUGGGCUUUGUCUGAUUCAAGGUAAUGUUAUACCCUCACUAAUCGCGAUGCGCUGUAUAAAUCCCCUUCAGACAUAGUAAACGGAU